GGCUCUUGAGGAUAUCCUUAACAAAAAAUUUAUGAGGGAAAAAUUCAAUAGAAACGUUAUUCUGAGAUAUAAAACCAUGAACAGAAAGAAUAUUACGAUUAAUAACAUGAGAACAAAGAAUAUCAUUAACAAAGAACUGAACAUCAUUAUAAGACAUGUGAGAAGAACCUUAAUGAGUAAUAAGUAAGGUAGUACCAUUGCCAAGAAGGACUUCGUCAGUGCCAAUAUACGCAAAAGAGAGUUGGUCAGACAUCCACGAUCGACCGUGAUUGAUAAUUGGCUCCUGAGUCAAUUGUCCAGGACUCUUCUGGCAUGGUAGUAGUGGGGGAAAAUUGGAUGUAGGCUUUGGAUGGUUGGG
rnacentral:misc_RNA from 1 species